rnacentral:rRNA from 1 species
AGAACGAACGCUGGCGGCAUGCCUAACACAUGCAAGUCGAACGGGACCUUCGGGUCUAGUGGCGCACGGGUGCGUAACGCGUGGGAAUCUGCCCUUAGGUACGGAAUAACUCAGGGAAACUUGAGCUAAUACCGUAUAAUGACUUCGGUCCAAAGAUUUAUCGCCUAAGGAUGAGCCCGCGUAGGAUUAGCUUGUUGGUGAGGUAAAAGCUCACCAAGGCGACGAUCCUUAGCUGGUCUGAGAGGAUGAUCAGCCACACUGGGACUGAGACACGGCCCAGACUCCUACGGGAGGCAGCAGUGGGGAAUAUUGGACAAUGGGCGAAAGCCUGAUCCAGCAAUGCCGCGUGAGUGAUGAAGGCCUUAGGGUUGUAAAGCUCUUUUACCCGGGAUGAUAAUGACAGUACCGGAGAAUAAGCUCCGGCUAACUCCGUGCCAGCAGCCGC